rnacentral:tRNA from 1 species
CGGAUGUAGCCAAGUCGAUUAAGGCAGU